AUUGGUUGGAAAUUACCUCUGGCUUUGAUCAUGGCCGUGACUGCAGGUGAGACCCAGCACCCGGAGUCUCCAAGGGCCUCAGCUCACCAGUGACACACUGCACUUUGUGGGAGGCAAAACCCGGGCCCCAACAGCA